CCUACGGGGGGCAGCAGUGAGGAAUAUUGGUCAAUGGUCGGGAGCCUGAACCAGCCAAGCCGCGUGAGGGAGGAAGGUACUGUGUAUCGUAAACCUCUUUUGUCAGGGAAUAAAGACUGGGACGCGUCCCCGGAUGAGUGUACCAUAUGAAUAAGCAUCGGCUAACUCCGUGCCAGCAGCCGCGGUAAUACGGAGGGUGCGAGCGUUAUCCGGAUUUAUUGGGUUUAAAGGGUGCGUAGGUGGCUUGUUAAGUCAGAUGUGAAAGGUUGCGGCUCAACCGCCGGACGGCCGUUGAAACUGGCAGUCGAGAGUAGGGGAGAGGUAGGCGGAAUGCGUGGGGUAGCGGUGAAAUGCAUAGAUAUCACGAAGAACUCCGAUUGCGAAGGCAGCUUACUGGCCCGAAACUGACGCUGAGGCUCGAAAGCGUGGGUAUCGAACAGGAUUAGAUACCCUGGUAGUC
rnacentral:rRNA from 1 species